rnacentral:rRNA from 1 species
GACGUAGGAGGCGAGCGUUGUCCGGAUUCAUUGGGCGUAAAGAGCACGCAGGCGGUCGUGCAAGUCGCGUGUGAAAGCCCCCGGCUCAACUGGGGAGGGUCACGCGAUACUGAUCGACUCGAAGGCAGGAGAGGGUAGUGGAAUUCCCGGUGUAGUGGUGAAAUGCGUAGAUAUCGGGAGGAACACCAGUGGCGAAGGCGACUACCUGGCCUGUUCUUGACGCUGAGGCGCGAAAGCUAGGGGAGCAAACGGG